rnacentral:rRNA from 1 species
GGUAACAGGAGAAGCUUGCUUCUCGCUGACGAGCGGCGGACGGGUGAGUAAUACUUAGGAAUCUACCUAGUAGUGGGGGAUAGCACGGGGAAACUCGUAUUAAUACCGCAUACGACCUACGGGAGAAAGGGGGCAGUUUACUGCUCUCGCUAUUAGAUGAGCCUAAGUCGGAUUAGCUAGAUGGUGGGGUAAAGGCCUACCAUGGCGACGAUCUGUAGCUGGUCUGAGAGGAUGAUCAGCCACACCGGGACUGAGACACGGCCCGGACUCCUACGGGAGGCAGCAGUGGGGAAUAUUGGACAAUGGGGGAAACCCUGAUCCAGCCAUGCCGCGUGUGUGAAGAAGGCCUUUUGGUUGUAAAGCACUUUAAGCAGUGAAGAAGACUCCAUGGUUAAUACCCAUGGACGAUGACAUUAGCUGCAGAAUAAGCACCGGCUAACUCUGUGCCAGCAGCCGCGGUAAUACAGAGGGUGCAAGCGUUAAUCGGAAUUACUGGGCGUAAAGGGAGCGUAGGUGGCUCUAUAAGUCAGAUGUGAAAUCCCCGGGCUUAACCUGGGAACUGCAUCUGAAACUGUAGAGCUAGAGUAUGUGAGAGGAAGGUAGAAUUCCAGGUGUAGCGGUGAAAUGCGUAGAGAUCUGGAGGAAUACCGAUGGCGAAGGCAGCCUUCUGGCAUCAUAUUGACACUGAGGUUCGAAAGCGUGGGUAGCAAACAGGAUUAGAUACCCUGGUAGUCCACGCCGUAAACGAUGUCUACUAGUCGUUGGGUCCCUUGAGGA